UAUUAGCACAACUACCACUGUCAAUGAUCAUUCCACAUACCUUACCGUUGAUAAGAUAUCUCAUGUGGAAAAUGUUCUCCCUCUUCUUGUUGUCUUUGCUCCUAACUUGCACGUUGAGAGCUCUUUAGACAACAAGAAUAUUACUUCCAAGUGGAGCAUCUUCGAUGGAUUGAAACAUAGUGUAGUACCUGCAAGAAAGGUUAG
rnacentral:lncRNA from 1 species